ensembl:lncRNA
CCCUGCUGCAGCCCGCUGACGCGGUGGAGGCUGCGGCGGACCUUCAGCGAUGCGAUCCUCCCCCCGGCUGCGCCCGCAAGGUCAGAAACAACUGUGCAUUGAGACACUCUACUGUUGAGAACACCAAUUCAAAACCUAAUCUGACGCAAGAUUUAUUUAUGAGAGAAAUAUUGUGGUGUGGAACAUGAGUGUGACGGAUGACUUUGUUAGUUCACUUGGCACCAGUCUACAAGAUGGCCAAGAGGUUGGAAACAACAAUAGGUCCUCUGAUGGAGACGCUAAUGCUAAUAAGAUCCAAGUUGAGGACAAGAAAGGGACAGCAGGGUUUAGGACAUUGUCUCCUUUGCGGUCUUGUAUAGAAGAGCAAGACAGGAUCAUCGUCUGGGGAACAGUUUCCCAGUGUGAUGACCCAGAUCUGGCUGAGUUUGAGAUGCUCGAAUGCCAGGAGCUGGAGGCCUACUUAGCAGAAGAGGACAAGGCACUUGCAAAAGCUUCAGGAACUGCAGAAGUAGCAGAUCUGUCCAAAAGUCUGAAUGCCACUGAAGCAACAUCAGGCUGUUGUACCAUUGAAAACAGUGUGGAAGGGGCGCAUCCAGGGAAUGAAGAGACUACUACUACACAUGCUACACAAAUCAUGGUCCAGAAUGGCAGCUUGGAAAAUGUCUUCCUUUCUCGCCUUCCCACAAUGUCCACAAGCCAAACACAAGAGAACCCAACAUUCGCCUCCAAUGCAGACCCCAGCAUUUCCAAGCAGUCAGCAACUCCUGCUGAAAUAAGCACAAGAUACAGCACAGGUGUCAAACUGAAUUAUGGCUCUACCAUUUUGCCCAAGACACCUUUUGUAGAAGCACAAGAAAAGCGGUCAGGUCCAGAUCCAUGUGAGCUGAGAAUUGGAGAAGAUUCCAAGCAGUCCAGUACCACUGGCGCUGUGCAGAGUUCUCAUGGGCAUUACUGCUUAGAACCCAAGUUUACGGAUUUGAAAAAGAAUCCUUCCAAAGCAAACGAGAAAGUUGCUGCCACGCACUCAGUUCCACCUACCUAUAAAAAACAGAAUUCUUUUGAAAGGACUUGUGGGGCAAGCCCAACCAGCUUGGAGAAAAGAAAGCCUUGGGGAAGUCCUUCCCGAUCAGCCACACCCCCAUCACCCAGGUUCACCAUGACUAACAGGAGGCAAACCCUCUCAUCUCCAGCAAAAACAGCAAGCAGCAGAGCUCCAAGCGAGGAACAUAGUGUCUCCCCUCAAAAGGUUAUCAGCAGUGCCAAGCCUUCCACCAAGGGCUGUCUGAACAGCAGUAUCCCAAAACCCAUUCCUCCUCAACAGCCACAGAGAACAGAGACUGAGAAAAAGAGCAUUAAGCCCAAAAAUGUGCGUCCAAAAAUCAUCACAUUCAUUCCAAGGAGUCCUCAGGUGAGGCCGUUUGGUCAUGAGAUCCAAAAGCCCUCUUACUAUGGCCAGGAGUUGGUAGUAACAGGCAUCAGGCCUCCCAGUCAUACAGUCCCACAUAGACUGGCUAACAAAUCUGAGAGCUUCCAUGGAGAAUUGCGGGACAGAUAUAUGAACGAGGCUACAAGGCCACAGCUAGGAGUUGGUGCUGUUGCCAGGCAACCUGGUACAACGAGCAAGAUGAUUGUAACAGGUCAGAGGUCAACUCUGAGCUUCAGCCAUCCACCUCCAGGGGGCCCAGCCACUUUUUGUCAGGAUUAUGCUGUGAAGAAAGAAGCUGGCAUGGAGACAGCGCCCAAAUUCCUAUUGCCGAAGCCUGGACAGUCUGGCCUCCGGCCCCCUGGCUUCUCCAACCUGCCUCCUGCCCAGCUGGCUGCCUUGGGCUGUGUCCGCAGUGCCAGUGUGUCGUCAGUGUCCAGCAACCAAUCAGACGAAGGCAGCCACCAUAGACCUUCCGUGUCCAGGAAGGAAACUGAAAGAGCAAGAGCCUCAGUGUCCCUGAAAAGGUGUGCAGUUAUCCCACCAAAACCUCAGUCUGCAGUGUUUUGUGGGGAAGCAGAAGAUGUUACACUGAUCCAGAGGCUGAAGCGACGCUGUGAGGACCAAGCCAGGCAGCUGAGGAGCCUCCAGGUGGAGCUUCAGUGGAGAAGCCAUGUCCUGGAGGUCUUCUCCAUCACCACCCAGCACUUUAGUCAGCAGGUAUGGGUCCUGAUGGCUGCUCCGCUUUUAUGUGUGCAAGUACUAGUGAAAAGAGGGAUGUGAGUAGGAUGUGUGUGUUCACGUGCUCAUGAAUAAAUGAAGAUUAUCUAACA